rnacentral:rRNA from 1 species
GACGAACGCUGGCGGCGUGCUUAACACAUGCGAGUCGAACGGAAAGGCCCUGCUUUUGUGGGGUGCUCGAGUGGCGAACGGGUGAGUAACACGUGAGUAACCUGCCCUUGACUUUGGGAUAACUUCAGGAAACUGGGGCUAAUACCGGAUAGGAGCUCCUGCUGCAUGGUGGGGGUUGGAAAGUUUCGGCGGUUGGGGAUGGACUCGCGGCUUAUCAGCUUGUUGGUGGGGUAGUGGCUUACCAAGGCUUUGACGGGUAGCCGGCCUGAGAGGGUGACCGGCGACAAUGGGACUAAGAUACGGCGCAGACUCCUACGGGAGGCAGCAGUGGGGAAUAUUACACAAUGGGCGGAAGCCUGAUGCAGCAACGCCGCGUGCGGGAUGACGGGCUUCGGGUUGUAAACCGCUUUCGCCUGUGACGAAGCGUGAGUGACGGUAAUGGGUAAAGAAGCACCGGCUAACUACGUG